rnacentral:rRNA from 1 species
CACAAGCGGUGGAGCAUGUGGUUAAUUCGACGCAACGCGAAGAACCUUACCAGGGCUUGACAUCCCCUGACCGCGUAUGAAAGUACGUUUUCACCCUCGGGUGACAGGGAGACAGGUGGUGCAUGGUUGUCGUCAGCUCGUGUCGUGAGAUGUUGGGUUAAGUCCCGCAACGAGCGCAACCCCUACGUUUAGUUGCUAACAGGUGAAGCUGAGCACUCUAGACGAACUGCCCGUUGACAAAACGGAGGAAGGUGGGAUGACGUCAAAUCAUCAUGCCCCUUAUGUUCUGGGCUACACACGUGCUACAAUGGCCGGUACAGACGGAGGCGAAGCCGCGAGGCGGAGCAAAUCCGAAAAAGCCGGUCUCAGUUCGGAUUGCAGGCUGCAAUUCGCCUGCAUGAAGUCGGAAUCGCUAGUAAUCGCAGGUCAGCAUACUGCGGUGAAUACGUUCCCGGGCCUU